UAUACGAUGUUUCUAUUAACGAUAUUCGCGAUGGAUACGCCAUCUGGUUAGUUUGAUUCCUAUUUGCGUAGAAAUAUUUAUCUAUAUACUUUAUAUAUUUUGAAUCGUGUGAAAAUAGAUAAUAAUUUAAAGAUAAAUUUUGAUUGAAAUAUUAAAAUUCUCGUGUAAAUAACGAUAUUCGUGUUAAAAUAUUUAUAUUUAUAUUAUUUUUACGCGAAACAGUAAACUAGUGCAUGUAAUAAUGUUUGAGGUUAUGGUUAUCAAUCCUUGAUGAAAUAACAAAAAGUUCAAAGCAAGUAACGUAGAAAAUAAUUAUAUAUUUAUAUAAAUACCUCUUUUUAUUUUAUUAAAUUUAAUAAAAUAGAAAUCCGUUUAUCAAGAAGAUAUUAUUCAAAGUUAUAUAUGGAAUAACUAAAUAUUUAAACGUUCGUAAACAUAUAUGUGAAAUUGUUUAAAAGUUUAAUCUUUUAUAACGGUUAUAUGUUUUCAUUGAUGCUCGUUCGCUGUUCUCGCGAUGCAUUUACUGUGUUUUAUGCGUGUAUAUCAGAGUGUUAAUCAAUGCCACUAAAUAUUUCAAUACUGAUAAUUACAGGUACUAGCACAGGUGCGUCUUACGACUACGAGCUACAACUGGUGGCAAAAAAUGAAUUAGCGGAUGUCAGUGAUAUACAUUUCUUGAAGGCAGUGCUGUUAUUCGAUUUCAAAAGAAGCACUUGACGAGAAAUUUGUUCCGGUGGACAAAUUCGAGCGGCCGGCUUUCGCCACGAGUUCUUCUUCUUCCUCGGUCUCCAAGGAUCAUUCGUGUACAAACGCAAAAACUUGAGACGUUCCGAGCCGAAUCAUCCAAUUUUCACUUUACAAUUUCAACGUAGAUUUUAAGAAGAGAGAAUAAGAAUUUUUAUACAUCUAUAUAUAUACAUAUAAAUAGAAAGAUGGACACGUUCUUUUGAAAAAUAAGAUAGAGUUAUAUAUAUUUCAAGAAUUUGAAUAUCAAGUAUUGUUGCCUUUGACGAAGCGUAAUAAUUUAAAAAGGAAGAAAAAAAUCGACUGUCUUCUUUAGUAAGUUUAAUUAUUUCCGAGUUGAAGCUGAAAGAGCUAUUAGAAUUCUCAUUUAAAUUUCUUACAGCGACAAGUCGAUACGGAAAAUUAUGAAAACUUUAAAUUAACCGCCAUUUCUCUGAAAAUAAUUGUUUCACUUCCUUGUGUAAACUUAUCGCGUGAGAAACCUAGUUUCUUUGUUUUAACCUAGAAAUUUAUGAAAGAAUAACAAUUCCAAGAUAUAUUUUUCUAAAUUUCAAUCCAUCGUUUUCGCGAUUCCUGUGUCACUUUGGCGCUUUAAUACUCUAUUUUAUUACGGUCCAAUCCGUUAUUUCGGCUCCUUCGAGUCUUUUCUUAUUUUUGCGAGCGUCGAUUUUACGUUACUCGUUGGAGAGAUACCAAAAUACGCGUGUAAACCAUGCCAGAAAAUUAUCAUAGGUUCGAUGAGAUUGUUACAGUGAAAGUAAUAAAAUUUAAUAACAAACAG